rnacentral:rRNA from 1 species
CUACGGGACGCUGCAGUGGGGAAUAUUGGACAAUGGGGGAAACCCUGAUCCAGCAAUUCCGCGUGGAUGAUGAAGGGUUUAGGCUCGUAGAGUCCUUUUAGUUGGGAAGAUAGUGACGGUACCAACAGAAAAAGCACCGGCUAAUUACGUGCCAGCAGCCGCGGUAAGACGUAAGGUGCAAGCGUUAUCCGGAAUUACUAGGCGUAAAGGGCAUCUAGGCGGCUAUGUAAGUCAGAGGUGAAAAGUCUGGGCUCAACCGAGGCCUUGCCUUUGAUACUGCAUAGCUAGAGUACGGGAGAGGAGGGCGGAACUACAAGUGUAGAGGUGAAAUUCGUAGAUAUUUGUAGGAAUGCCGAUUACGAAGGUAGCUCUCUGGACCGAUACUGACGCUGAAGUGCGAAAGCUAGGGGAGCGAACAGGAUUAGAUACCCCAGUAGUC